rnacentral:rRNA from 1 species
UAGGGAAUCUUCGGCAAUGGGGGCAACCCUGACCGAGCAACGCCGCGUGAGUGAAGAAGGUUUUCGGAUCGUAAAGCUCUGUUGUAAGAGAAGAACGUGUGUGAGAGUGGAAAGUUCACACAGUGACGGUAACUUACCAGAAAGGGACGGCUAACUACGUUCCAGCAGCCGCGGUAAUACGUAGGUCCCGAGCGUUGUCCGGAUUUAUUGGGCGUAAAGCGAGCGCAGGCGGUUUAAUAAGUCUGAAGUUAAAGGCAGUGGCUUAACCAUUGUUCGCUUUGGAAACUGUUAAACUUGAGUGCAGAAGGGGAGAGUGGAAUUCCAGGUGUAGCGGUGAAAUGCGUAGAUAUAUGGAGGAACACCGGUGGCGAAAGCGGCUCUCUGGUCUGUAACUGACGCUGAGGCUCGAAAGCGUGGGGAGCAAACAGG